GACGAACGCUGGCGGCGUGCUUAACACAUGCAAGUCGAACGGAAAGGCCUCUUUCGGGGGGUACUCGAGUGGCGAACGGGUGAGUAACACGUGAGUAACCUGCCCUUGACUUUGGGAUAACUUCAGGAAACUGGGGCUAAUACCGGAUAGGAGCUCCUGCUGCAGGGUGGGGGUUGGAGAGUUUCGGGGGUUGGGGGUGGCCUUGCGGCGUAUCGGCUUGGUGGGGGGGUGGUGGCUUACCAAGGCGUUGACGGGUAGCCGGCCUGUGAGGGUGAGCGGCCACAUUGGGACUGAGAUACGGCCCAGACUCCUACGGGAGGCAGCAGGGGGGAAUAUUGCACAAUGGGUGGAAGCCUGAUGCAGCAACGCCGUGUGCGGGAUGACGGCCUUCGGGUUGUAAACCGCUUUCGCUCAUGACGAAGCUUUGUGUGACGGUAGUGGGUAAAGAAGCACCGGCUAACUACGUG
rnacentral:rRNA from 1 species